rnacentral:rRNA from 1 species
UGGGGAAUAUUGCACAAUGGGCGCAAGCCUGAUGCAGCCAUGCCGCGUGUGUGAAGAAGGCCUUCGGGUUGUAAAGCACUUUCAGCGGGGAGGAAGGCGAUAAGGUUAAUAACCUUGUCGAUUGACGUUACCCGCAGAAGAAGCACCGGCUAACUCCGUGCCAGCAGCCGCGGUAAUACGGAGGGUGCAAGCGUUAAUCGGAAUUACUGGGCGUAAAGCGCACGCAGGCGGUCUGUCAAGUCGGAUGUGAAAUCCCCGGGCUCAACCUGGGAACUGCAUUCGAAACUGGCAGGCUAGAGUCUUGUAGAGGGGGGUAGAGUUCCAGGUGUAGCGGUGAAAUGCGUAGAGAUCUGGAGGAAUACCGGUGGCGAAGGCGGCCCCCUGGACAAAGACUGACGCUCAGGUGCGAAAGCGUGGGGAGCAAACAGG